rnacentral:rRNA from 1 species
GACGAACGCUGGCGGCGUGCUUAACACAUGCCAGUCGAACGGUGAAGCGAGUGCUUGCACUCGUGGAUCAGUGGCGAACGGGUGAGUAACACGUGAGUAACCUGCCCAUCACUCUGGGAUAAGCACUGGAAACGGUGUCUAAUACUGGAUACGACCAACCCUUGCAUGGGGUGUUGGUGGAAAGAUUUAUCGGUGAUGGAUGGACUCGCGGCCUAUCAGCUUGUUGGCGGGGUAAUGGCCCACCAAGGCGACGACGGGUAGCCGGCCUGAGAGGGUGACCGGCCACACUGGGACUGAGACACGGCCCAGACUCCUACGGGAGGCAGCAGUAGGGAAUAUUGCACAAUGGGCGAAAGCCUGAUGCAGCGACGCCGCGUGAGGGAUGACGGCCUUCGGGUUGUAAACCUCUUUCAGCAGGGAAGAAGCGAAAGUGACGGUACCUGCAGAAGAAGCACCGGCUAACUACGUG